AAAAUGCGAUAAGUAGUGUGAAUUGCAGAAUUCAGUGAAUCAUCGAAUCUUUGAACGCACAUUGCGCCCUUUGGUAUUCCUUAGGGCAUGCCUGUUCGAGCGUCAUUUACACCCUCAAGCGCAGCUUGGUGUUGGGCGUCUGUCCUCCGGGACUCGCCUCAAAAGGAUUGGCAGCCACUUCAGCGGCUUAGAGCGCAGCAGAAUUGCGUCCUCUGGCAGUCGAAGGCGGCAUCCAUAAGCUUACUUUUUAUUUUGACCUCGGAUCAGGUAGGGAUACCCGCUGAACUUAA
rnacentral:misc_RNA from 1 species